rnacentral:rRNA from 1 species
CCCUUAGAUGUUCUGGGCCGCACGCGUGCUACACUGAGUGGAUCAGCGGGUCAGGUUGCGCGAAAGUGUUUCCUAAUCUUUAAAUCCGCUCGUGAUGGGGAUUGACGGUUGCAAUUUUCCGUCAUGAACGAGGAAUACCUUGUAAGCGCGGGUCAUCAUCCCGCGCUGAAUACGUCCCUGCCCUUUGUACACACCGCCCGUCGCUACUACCGAUUGAAUGGUUUAGUGAGAUCUCUGGAUUGACGCUGGCUAGGGGGCGACCCUUGGCCAGACUGUUGAGAAACUGCUCAAACUUGAUCAUUUAGAGGAAGUAAAAGUCGUAACA